AACAAGGUUUCCGUAGGUGAACCUGCGGAAGGAUCAUUAUCGUACAAUGGGGGUACCAGGGCUGUCGCUGACUUUUCGUCGUGACGCCCUGAGUGCUCUCACAUACAAUAUCCAUCUCACCCCUUUGUGCAUCACCGCGUGUGUCCCCCCUUCCUCGGAAGGGGGUGCUCACGUUUUUAACAUCAAACACCCUAGUGUAGAAUGUUCCUUGCGCGAUCACGCGCGAAUCAAUACAACUUUCAACAACGGAUCUCUUGGCUCUCGCAUCGAUGAAGAACGCAGCGAAAUGCGAUACGUAAUGUGAAUUGCAGAAUUCAGUGAAUCAUCGAAUCUUUGAACGCACCUUGCGCCCCUUGGCAUUCCGAGGGGCACACCCGUUUGAGUGUCGUGAACAUCCUCAACCUGCUUCGUUCUAUCGAACCAAGUAGGCUUGGAAUUUGGAGGUUUUUCUGCUGGCUUCCUCUGAAGCCCAGCUCCUCUUAAAUCUAUCAGUGGGAUCCGCUUUGCUAGAUCCUCGACGUUGAUAAGAUGUUUCUACGUCUUGGGUUUCGCUCGGGAAGGACCUGCUUCUAACCGUCCCCAUCGGGGACAAUGUUCGAGAGCCGAUCGCCCUUCACGGGGUGGGAAGCUUUUCGACCCAUGAAACCUUGACCUCAAAUCGGGUGAGACUACCCGCUGAACUUAAGCAUAUCAAUA
rnacentral:rRNA from 1 species